UACGGAGGGGACUAGCGUUGUUCGGAAUUACUGGGCGUAAAGCGCACGUAGGCGGAUUUGUAAGUCAGGGGUGAAAUCCCGAGGCUCAACCUCGGAACUGCCUUUGAUACUGCAAAUCUCGAGUCCGGAAGAGGUGAGUGGAAUUCCUAGUGUAGAGGUGAAAUUCGUAGAUAUUAGGAAGAACACCAGUGGCGAAGGCGGCUCGCUGGUCCGGUACUGACGCUGAGGUGCGAAAGCGUGGGGAGCAAACAGG
rnacentral:rRNA from 1 species